GACGAACGCUGGCGGCGUGCCUAACACAUGCAAGUCGAGCGAAUGAAGUUCCUUCGGGAAUGGAUUUAGCGGCGGACGGGUGAGUAACACGUGGGCAACCUGCCUCAUAGAGGGGAAUAGCCUUCCGAAAGGGAGAUUAAUACCGCAUAAGAUUGUAGUAUCGCAUGAUACAGCAAUUAAAGGAGCAAUCCGCUAUGAGAUGGGCCCGCGGCGCAUUAGCUAGUUGGUGAGGUAAUGGCUCACCAAGGCGACGAUGCGUAGCCGACCUGAGAGGGUGAUCGGCGACAUUGGGACUGGGACACGGCCCAGACUCCUACGGGAGGCAGCAGUGGGGAAUAUUGCACAAUGGGGGAAACCCUGAUGCAGCAACGCCGCGUGAGUGAUGACGGCCUUCGGGUUGUAAAGCUCUGUCUUCAGGGACGAUAAUGACGGUACCUGAGGAGGAAGCCACGGCUAACUACGUGCCAGCCGCCGCGGUAAGAC
rnacentral:rRNA from 1 species